rnacentral:lncRNA from 1 species
CGGCCAAGUGUCACAUCUUUCGUUGGGCACCAAUAAACAGUUUGAAUGAUUGAGUCCCAAAAGGUAGUUAGUGCCUUUGACCUUUAUCGUAGUCAUCGUUAGAUUCCCUGUCGCAGCAUCAAAAUUGGGAGUUAGAGGUGUCGAGAGUUGUUUGUUGUCGUGAUUUAAGGAUGCCAUAGCAGCCAGAGAGGAGAACAAAAAUAAUCAGACAGCUAAACAUAUAAAAGGGAAGGAAGGAUACCUUUACACGACAAUCAGAGAAAUCAUGGAUAGUGUACUGCUUCCAUGAUUAGUAGAUAGCCAAAAAAACAGCCAAAAGACUUUUUGCAUGGCAUAGAAAAGAAACCUACGUUGAUUUGUCCAAGAACAAAUUGCUCCUCAGGAUGUACUGAAGGUCCCUCAGCCAAUUUUGUAGAAUCACAAGCAGAUUUCAGCAAACAGCAAGUAGAAGUAUUAAUCAGACCUCCAAGAUGGCAAAGGAUGGACUGCUAUAACAUGAACAGAUUGAUUUCAAGAUUGCAGUAAGAAUCCAACAAGGACAAGAAUCCUAAAUCCUUAGCAGCAGCUAGGGUUCCAGCAUGAACCAGAGGCAACCAUCAUCAGAAAUCUCUAACAAUGGAGGAAAAGGACGAUGAAGAACGUUGACAAAGAGACAGAAAGUAGCAGUAGCGACGGUUUAAUAUGCUGUGAAAAGAGAGAGAUGGAUAGGAUUUUUGAGAAGAGAGUUGGAACCUUGGUGCAGCUAGGGCUUUGAAGGUUGCUGACGAGGAGCUGUGACGUGGGCUGCUGCGGCGAGGACUGCUAUAGAAGAGCUAUUGCAGCUAGGGCUUCUGCGGCCUAUUGUGGAAGGAGAAGCGGCAAAGGGCUAGGGUUGUGGAG